UACGGGGGGUGCAAGAGAUAUUCGGAAUUAUUGGGCGUAAAGGGCGCGUAGGCGGUUGAAUAAGUCAGAUGUGAAAGCCCGUGGCUUAACCAAGGAAGUGCAUUUGAUACUAUUUGACUUGAGUAUGGGAGAGGGAAGUGGAAUUCCUGGUGUAGAGGUGAAAUUCGUAGAUAUCAGGAGGAACGCCGGUGGCGAAAGCGACUUCCUGGACCAAUACUGACGCUGAGGCGCGAAGGCGUGGGGAGCAAACAGG
rnacentral:rRNA from 1 species